AAAAAUGCAUUUGCUUGUAGAACCAAAUAAAAUUAAAAGAAGGUAGAAAAACCCUGGAAGAAAGAUGUGUGCAAAGCAAAGACAAUCACAGCAUGCAGGGCUGACUUUCAACCAAAUAUUUAAGGAACUCUGCAGAGCCUGAUGUGCUCCACGCUGCAUGAUAUGAUGGGAAGGAAGCCUACCUCUACAGGAGGUCAUUGAGAAAGCAAGAUAAAGCGGCACUCUGAAAAGAUCAGCAGCAGGACAUAUCUCAAAAUAUUAUCAAAGGAAGAAAACUGUUUUCUUAAAGGGCAGCAGUCUCCACCGCAGAGAUUAAUUGGCACAAGAAAAAUAAUUAUAAAGCUCAGAAUUCACAACAGGAAAAUUGUCAGUCUGUGAAGUGCAUGGUCAUGGGAAGGAGCCAGGUAAGGGAUGAAGAAGAAUGUUUCCUAUUCUUAGCCAUUUGUGCCUUUCCUAAGCAAGAAAGAUUAAUAGAAGGUAGUUCUCACCAUUUAGAAAUUUUGUACAAUAUAGACUACUACAGCAGUAAAGGCCAGAGUGAGAACCCUUAGGAUACCCUAUACCAAACCCAAAAGGUAUUCCUGGAUAAAUCAUGUCUUCCAGAAAUAACAGCAGUGCCAUGCAGUGUUUUCUCCCGGUGAAGAUACUUAAGCACUUCUUGAAUUACCUCUAUUACUGGUGGAGGCAGAGGGG